CUUUUUUUUCGUGAGCAGGUCCAUUUUCCAACCAUUGGAGUUGCUCUAAUAAUACUAUCUCUAUUAUAUAAAGGAACAGUUGAGGGCUUAGCGGUAAUAAUACCUUUCGUGUCCCCCAUCAAAAAGUCUAAAACACCCCUACCCUUUCCGCACAACCCCUUUGCAGUUCACACUCCUUCCUCCGCCGCUUCACUAGUUCUUCGGUUUUCUCUCUAAGAAAAGGAAACAAUCCUUUUCAUGGCCCUCCAAGUCUUCGAUUUUCUCUCUCAAAGUCUUCGAAGAUCUGGAUUUCAUGGCCCAUGCUCCGACGAUUCUGAUUCGCGAGAUGUGGUCGGCAAAUCUUUCGGUUGUUCUACGCCUCUGUUGCCAUCACGUCUACAAAAAGUUGCUACAUCCACCGCCGAUUCAGUGGUGCCGAAUUCCGAUGACCUGAAAAAUGGCAGAGGUUUGUUCGUCCCUUUGAGAGUGAAAAAUAGGGUCGAGCAAGCCCACACAAUCUUUUCUCUUGGUGACAAGGUUUCCAAAACUGGGAUUCAGAUGAGCAGCAGUGUAGGAAGAAUUUGGUUGUCUGUUUCGAUCAUCCAUACUCAUCAGAAGCUCGAACCAAGGAUCACGAUGUGCGAGAUUGAAAGAGGAACAUGUGGAUUACACUGCAGCUGAAACUACAAACUGAAUCAUGAGGUUACCAUGGAGUAGUUGGGUGUUUUGAUUUUGCAUAUCACAAUGAGAAUAGAAAAGUGCUGGUUCUGUUCUUCCCGCCCAGGUAUACCCUGGACAUGGAAUCCAGUUUGUUCGUAAUGAUGCGAAGGUUUGUUACAGGUUGUUUCUGGUGAAGUUUUGCUUCUCCUACACUGUUGUCCUGCUACACUGUGACUUUGCUUCUGCUACAAUGUUGUUUCUGUUCAGUUGUGUGCUCCAGUUUUGUAUUUAGCCUGCUGCUGCUGUGGUUCUACUUCUUUGGCCUUGUUGUUUUUUUUGGCCUGCUGGUGCUACUUUGUUUUUCUUAGCCUUUUUGUUGUUGUUUUGUUGGUUGUGUAUGCCCUUACUGUGUAUGUUGUUAGGGCUGCACUGAGGUCUUUGCUUCUUUGUUUUGGAUUUUACGUUUUUACUUCCUUUUGGUCAUUAGUUGCAAUAAAAUAAUUUAAAAUUCUGAUAUUAUCUCGCACGUAUCGCGUGCAUAUAAGACUAGUUAUUAA